UACACUUUGCUGCCUUUGUUGCA
rnacentral:siRNA from 1 species